UACGUAGGGUGCGAGCGUUGUCCGGAAUUAUUGGGCGUAAAGAGCUCGUAGGCGGUGUGUCACGUCGGCCGUGAAAACCUGGGGCUUAACUCUGGGCGUGCGGUCGAUACGGGCAUCACUAGAGUUCGGCAGGGGAGACUGGAAUUCCUGGUGUAGCGGUGAAAUGCGCAGAUAUCAGGAGGAACACCGGUGGCGAAGACGGGUCUCUGGGCCGAUACUGACGCUGAGGAGCGAAAGCAUGGGUAGCGAACAGG
rnacentral:rRNA from 1 species